rnacentral:rRNA from 1 species
AUGGCCAUCCCUGACGGCUCGGUCGACUUCUUCGUCUGGCUAGAUACUGCUCUCCUAGGCACUCCGGCACCGAAGCAUCGUGCGCUCGCCACUGUGGCCUCCCUCGUCGCGUGGUCCCUCUGGCGGCACCGGAACGCCGUCAUCUUCGACAAGAUUGCACCCUCCCUGCCAUCGCUUAUAGCAGCAAUCAAGGAUGAAGCUCGCUCUUGGGCCUUGGCUCGAGCUAGAGGAAUGAACCUAGGUCCUGGUGUAACCUGA